rnacentral:lncRNA from 1 species
UGAAUAUUUGAUGACUAAUAUUUUAAAAAUUAAAACCGAUCGUUUCUAGAGCAAGUAGCAAAAGAUUUGAUGAUUGCUAUCUGAGACCCAAGUUCGAAUCCUAGUUGAUUCACAUUUCCAGCUAAGUUUAUUUCCAAAUGAAAUAAACGAAGUGGGUAGCAUGCUAUCUAUCUCUAAAAAAAUAGACGAUCUAGUCUGAAUAUAAAAAGUAUAAGAUUCGAAAAUCUAUACAACCGAAAAAUUAGACAUU